CUCUAAGUGCCUUGUCGUUCGUUUGUUCUGUUUGUGCUCCCACUCAUUGUUGGCCUCUCAAAACCAAAAUGCCCUUCUCUUUUCUCUCUUUCUCUCCCAUCCCUGCAUUGUGUUCCUCCUUCAUCACCACCCCGCUUUGCUUUCACCAUCCUUUUAUGGUCUCGGGUGGUGUCGGGUGUUGGAAAAAUGGCAUACAAAGUGGACCAUGAAUACGAUUAUCUCUUCAAGAUUGUACUCAUUGGAGACUCUGGUGUUGGGAAAUCCAAUAUACUCUCCAGGUUUACCCGAAAUGAGUUUUGUUUGGAGUCCAAGUCUACCAUUGGGGUCGAAUUUGCAACUAGAACAUUACAGGUGGAGGGGAAGACUGUAAAGGCACAAAUAUGGGACACUGCUGGUCAAGAGAGGUACAGAGCUAUUACUAGUGCAUACUACAGAGGAGCUGUUGGUGCCUUGUUGGUGUACGACAUAACAAAAAGGCAAACAUUUGAAAAUGUGCAGAGGUGGCUUCGCGAGCUAAGGGACCAUGCCGACGCCAACAUUGUUAUUAUGAUGGCCGGAAAUAAGUCGGACCUGAAUCACCUGAGAGCAGUCUCAUCAGAAGAUGCUCAAAACUUGGCUGAGAAGGAGAGUCUGUCAUUUCUAGAGACUUCAGCAUUGGAGGCGUUGAAUGUUGAAAAGGCAUUCCAAACCAUUUUGUUUGAUAUAUACCAAAUCAUAAGUAGAAAGGCAUUGGCAGCACAGGAGGCAGCUUCUACUACUAGCCUCCCUCAUGGGACUACCAUAAAUGUGUCAAAUUUGUCAAGUAAUGUGGAGAAGAAAACAUGUUGCUCCAAUUGAGAGGGUAAACUGUGUAGCAAUGGUUAGGAGGAGCAAGUUUUUCAGGGAAUUCUUUUUGUAUUUGAAAACACAAAUGACAUGAGAAAUGGAUGCUACCUUCUGCCAGGUUUUCUUGUAUGCAACAAGCACAACAUUAACAUGCAAUUUAUGUUUCUGGCUUUGGCAUACUGAUUCUGAAAUGCAGACAAUGGGAUUUCAGAGUAUGGUGUGGUCUUAGUACAGUCAUGGAUUAGAAGUUGUAAUUAAAGCAUUACGGCACCACAUGUGGACUGGUCGGUCUCCUUGAACUCUGGGGCGGUGCUCAGCGUCGGUUGGCCUUAGAGUAUGGUGGCGUUGGCCUAGGGAGAGUACCUGCAAAAGAGACUUCAACGCUCAAGUCAGUGUGUGAGCAAUGAGAGUAUUUAUAUGUCUUAGAAGAACACGCGAAAUGCUAAGAAUUGAUAGCAUGUUAUGUAAACGAACGAUGAAACC